AAGCUGUUGUUGUUAAGCCGGCUACCCUUGCACCAACAUGGGCAAGAACCCAAAGCAACAAAUUAUUAUCAAAAAAUAAUCAAGAGGUGCAAUUGCAAUUAUUAUCAUUAAUAGACACCAACAUAAAGGUAGGUUUCUGUAUAAAGAAGGAAAUACAUGAGACAAAAGCAUAAAUUGCCCCUUUAAUUUGGGGACAUUUUCAUGUCUGCAUGUUGGGUUUGCACACUCGAGUGCAUGCAGAACAGUAACAUGCAAAUAUUCAAUCAAAACAUCAGUUAUCCUACUUGCACUUCAUUGCACAAUUAGUAUAUUGCGAAGCACACAACAAUGUAGUGGCAGAUUCAGAAAUUUUUUCUUGCGUCAACAUAUAAAAUGAAAGAAUAAAAUAUUACUAAAAAAUAUCAAAAAUAUAAUAAUAAUAAUAUCUUACAAUUGGACUCAAUGAAAUCUAAUACCCUGAUUAUAAUUAAGCAUUACAUCAUUAUUAAUGCUAUCAAAUAAAUCUCUUUAUACAAAUAACUAAAUAGUCAUUCAUCA
rnacentral:misc_RNA from 1 species